rnacentral:tRNA from 1 species
GGAAGUGUGCCUGAACUAAAGGACCACUUUGAUAGAGUGGAUAAUGAAAGUUAAAAUCUCUCCACUUCCUAU